AUUGAACGCUGGCGGCAGGCCUAACACAUGCAAGUCGAACGAGUGGCGGACGGGUGAGUAAUGUCUGGGAAACUGCCCGAUGGAGGGGGAUAACUACUGGAAACGGUAGCUAAUACCGCAUACCAUCGGAUGUGCCCAGAGGGGAUUAGCUAGUCGGUGGGGUAAAGGCUCACCUAGGCGACGAUCACUAGCUGGUCUGAGAGGAUUAACAGCCAACCUGGAACUGAUACACGGUACAGACGCCUCUGGGAGGCCGCAGUGGGGAAUAUUGCACAAUGGUCUCAAUCAUGAUGCAGCCAUGCCGCGUGUAUGAAGAAGGCCUUCGGGUUGUAAAGUACAUUCAGCGGGAAGGCGUUACCAGCAGAAGAAGCACCGGCUAACUCCGUGCCAGCAGCCGCGGUAAUUC
rnacentral:rRNA from 1 species